GCCUACGGGACGCAGCAGUAGGGAAUCUUCCACAAUGGGCGAAAGCCUGAUGGAGCAACGCCGCGUGGGUGAAGAAGGUCUUCGGAUCGUAAAACCCUGUUGUUAGAGAAGAAAGUGCGUGAGAGUAACUGUUCACGUUUCGACGGUAUCUAACCAGAAAGCCACGGCUAACUACGUGCCAGCAGCCGCGGUAAUACGUAGGUGGCAAGCGUUAUCCGGCUUUAUUGGGCGUAAAGAGAACGCAGGCGGUCUUUCAAGUCUGAUGUGAAAGCCUUCGGCUUAACCGGAGUAGUGCAUUGGAAACU
rnacentral:rRNA from 1 species